rnacentral:rRNA from 1 species
GAAUUACUGGGCGUAAAGCGUGCGCAGGCGGUUUUGUAAGCCAGAUGUGAAAUCCCCGGGCUCAACCUGGGAAUGGCAUUUGGGACUGCAAGGCUUGAGUGCGGCAGAGGAGACUGGAAUUCCUGGUGUAGCAGUGAAAUGCGUAGAUAUCAGGAGGAAUACCGAUGGCGAAGGCAGGUCUCUGGGCUGACACUGACGCUCAUGCACGAAAGCGUGGGGAGCAAACAGGAUUAGAUACCCUGGUAGUCCACGCCCUAAACGAUGUCGACUGGUUGUUGGGGGUUUGACACUCUCAGUAACGAAGCUAACGCGUGAAGUCGACCGCCUGGGGAGUACGGCCGCAAGGUUAAAACUCAAAGGAAUUGACGGGGACCCGCACAAGCGGUGGAUUAUGUGGAUUAAUUCGAUGCAACGCGAAAAACCUUACCUACCCUUGACAUGUCCGGAAGCCUGGUGAAAGCCGGGUGUGCCCGAAAGGGAACUGGAACACAGGUGCUGCAUGGCU